UGAGCCAAGUUUAGGGUUUUCUCAAAACCCAAAGAUGUUUGAACUGAAGAGUUUGAUCAUGGCUCAGAUUGAACGCUGGCGGCAGGCCUAACACAUGCAAGUCGAGCGGCAGCACGGGUACUUGUACCUGGUGGCGAGCGGCGGACGGGUGAGUAAUGC
rnacentral:rRNA from 1 species